rnacentral:rRNA from 1 species
AUUGAACGCUGGCGGCAGGCUUAACACAUGCAAGUCGAGCGGUAACAGGAGAAGCUUGCUUCUCGCUGACGAGCGGCGGACGGGUGAGUAAUACUUAGGAAUCUGCCCAGUAGUGGGGGAUAGCUCGGGGAAACUCGAAUUAAUACCGCAUACACCCUACGGGGAAAAGGGGGCACUUGUGCUCUCGCUAUUGGAUGAGCCUAAGUCGGAUUAGCUAGUUGGUGGGGUAAAGGCCUACCAAGGCGACGAUCUGUAGCUGGUCUGAGAGGAUGAUCAGCCACACCGGGACUGAGACACGGCCCGGACUCCUACGGGAGGCAGCAGUGGGGAAUAUUGGACAAUGGGGGCAACCCUGAUCCAGCCAUGCCGCGUGUGUGAAGAAGGCCUUUUGGUUGUAAAGCACUUUAAGCAGUGAAGAAGGCUCUAUGGUUAAUACCCAUAGACGAUGACAUUAGCUGCAGAAUAAGCACCGGCUAACUCUGUGCCAGCAGCCGCGGUAAUACAGAGGGUGCAAGCGUUAAUCGGAAUUACUGGGCGUAAAGCGAGCGUAGGUGGCUUGAUAAGUCAGAUGUGAAAUCCCCGGGCUUAACCUGGGAACUGCAUCUGAUACUGUUAGGCUAGAGUAGGUGAGAGGGAGGUAGAAUUUCAGGUGUAGCGGUGAAAUGCGUAGAGAUCUGAAGGAAUACCGAUGGCGAAGGCAGCCUCCUGGCAUCAUACUGACACUGAGGUUCGAAAGCGUGGGUAGCAAACAGGAUUAGAUACCCUGGUAGUCCACGCCGUAAACGAUGUCUACUAGUCGUUGGGGAACUUGAUUCCUUAGUGACGCAGCUAACGCAAUAAGUAGACCGCCUGGGGAGUACGGCCGCAAGGUUAAAACUCAAAUGAAUUGACGGGGGCCCGCACAAGCGGUGGAGCAUGUGGUUUAAUUCGAUGCAACGCGAAGAACCUUACCUGGUCUUGACAUAUCUAGAAUCCUGCAGAGAUGCGGGAGUGCCUUCGGGAAUUAGAAUACAGGUGCUGCAUGGCUGUCGUCAGCUCGUGUCGUGGGAUGUUGGGUUAAGUCCCGCAACGAGCGCAACCCUUUUCCUUAGUUACCAGCGGUUUGGCCGGGGACUCUAAGGAUACUGCCAGUGACAAACUGGAGGAAGGCGGGGACGACGUCAAGUCAUCAUGGCCCUUACGACCAGGGCUACACACGUGCUGCAAUGGUAGGUACAGAGGGCAGCUACACAGCGAUGUGAUGCGAAUCUCAAAAAGCCUAUCGUAGUCCAGAUUGGAGUCUGCAACUCGACUCCAUGAAGUCGGAAUCGCUAGUAAUCGCGGAUCAGAAUGCCGCGGUGAAUACGUUCCCGGGCCU